AGAGUUUGAUCCUGGCUCAGGAUGAACGCUGGCGGCGUGCCUAACACAUGCAAGUCGAACGGGGCGCGGCGGCUGAGACUUUUCAGAGCGGAAGCCGGCGCUGCCCAGUGGCGGACGGGUGAGUAACGCGUGGGCAACCUGCCCUGCACUGGGGGACAACAGCCGGAAACGGCUGCUAAUACCGCAUAUGCCCGCAGCCCCGCAUGGGGCGGCGGGGGAAGCUCCGGCGGUGCAGGAUGGGCCCGCGAUCUGAUUAGCUGGUUGGCGGGGCAACGGCCCACCAGGGCGACAAUCAGAAGCCGGCCUGAGAGGGUGGGCGGCCACAUUGGGACUGAGACACGGCCCAGACUCCUACGGGAGGCAGCAGUGGGGGAUAUUGCACAAUGGGGGGAACCCUGAUGCAGAGACGCCGCGUGGGCGAUGGAGUGCUUCGGCAUGUAAAGCCCUAUCAGCAGGGAAGAAAAUGACGGUACCUGACUAAGAAGCCCCGGCUAAAUACGUGCCAGCAGCCGCGGUAAUACGUAUGGGGCAAGCGUUAUCCGGAUUUACUGGGUGUAAAGGGAGCGUAGGCGGCCUGGCAAGCUUGAUGUGAAAUACCGGGGCCCAACCCCGGGGCUGCAUUGGGAACUGCCAGGCUGGAGUGCCGGAGAGGCAGGCGGAAUUCCUGGUGUAGCGGUGAAAUGCGUAGAUAUUAGGAGGAACCCCAGUGGCGAAGGCGGCCUGCUGGACGGUGACUGACGCUGAGGCUCGAAAGCGUGGGGAGCAAACCAGGAUUAGAUACCCUGGUAGUCCACCCCGUAAACGAUGAAUACUAGGUGUCGGCGGGCAAAGCCCGCCGGUUCCGCAGCAAGCGCCGUCAGUAUUCCACCUGGGGGGUGCGUUGGCGAGAGUGAAACUCAAAGGAGUUGGCGGGGACCCGCGCAAGCGGUGGAGCAUGUGGUUUAAUUAGAAGUAACGCGAAGAGCCUAGCCAGUCCUUGACAUCUUGCUGACGGCAUAUGCAAUGUAUGUUCCCUCCGGGGCUGCGGAGACAGGUGGCGCAUGGUUGUCGUCAGUUCGCGUCGUGAGAUGUUGGGUUAAGUCCCGCAACGAGCGCAACCCCUAUCCUUAGUAGCCAGCGAGUAGCGUCGGGCACUCUAGGGAGACUGCCGGGGACAACCCGGAGGAAGGUGGGGAUGACGUCAAAUCAUCAUGCCCCUUAUGAUUUGGGCUACACACGUGCUACAAUGGCGUAAACAAAGGGAAGGGAGCCUGUGAAGGUAAGCGAAUCCCAGAAAUAACGUCUCAGUUCGGAUUGUAGUCUGCAACUCGCCUACAUGAAGCUGGAAUCGCUAGUAAUCGCGGAUCAGAAUGCCGCGGUGAAUACGUUCCCGGGUCUUGCACUCACCGCCCGUCA
rnacentral:rRNA from 1 species